CAGCCGCCGCGGUAAUACGAAGGGUGCAAGCGUUACUCGGAAUUACUGGGCGUAAAGCGUGCGUAGGUGGUGGUUUAAGUCCGUUGUGAAAGCCCUGGGCUCAACCUGGGAAUUGCAGUGGAUACUGGGUCACUAGGGUGUGGUAGAGGAUAGUGGAAUUUCCGGUGUAGCAGUGAAAUGCGUAGAGAUCGGAAGGAACAUCUGUGGCGAAGGCGACUAUCUGGGCCAACACUGACACUGAGGCACGAAAGCGUGGGGAGCAAACAGGAUUAGAUACCCCUGUAGUCCCUGUCUCUUAUAC
rnacentral:rRNA from 1 species